ensembl:lncRNA
CUGAAGGUGGUUCUAUCUGAUGGUGGUUCUAUCUGAUGGUGGUUGUAUGUGAUGGUGGUUCUAUCUGAUGGUGGUUGUAUGUGAUGGUGGUUCUAUCUGAUGGUGGUUCUAUCUGAUGGUGGUUCUAUCUGAUGGUGGUUGUAUGUGAUGGUGGUUCUAUCUGAUGGUGGUUCUAUCUGAUGGUGGUUCUAUCUGAUGGUGGUUGUAUGUGAUGGUGGUUGUAUGUGAUGGUGGUUCUAUCUGAUGGUGGUUCUAUCUGAUGGUGGUUCUAUCUGAUGGUGGUUCUAUCUGAUGGUGGUUCUAUCUGAUGGUGGUUCUAUGUGACGGUGGUUCUAUGUGAUGGUGGUUCUAUGUGAUGGUG